ensembl:snoRNA
CAGGUGCCAGACCGGCCAGCACCACAGACACAGCAGCCUGUGACAUUGGGACAAAGAGGAAGCGGCUGUUUCUAUACUCAGUGCUCCGAACAGGAAGCACUGAGCACGGUUUGCAGCCAAACGUGC